CUACUACACUUGUAAUUCUAACCAUAGCUAGAGCUAGCUCGGAUUUCCAUCCUAACUUCAGCUCAGCUCGUGCCUUGCUUGAAGCACAACAUAGGCUAAGUAUUCAUCUGGGCUUUAUUCUAAUCAAGUUUUAUAGUUAUAGCCAAAGGCCGAGCAUAUGUUAAAGACUUUGAUUUACAUAUUUAAAAGUAUGAUUCUUAUUAAUCAAAAGAAGAGGAUUACAUCUGUUUCUGUGGAGAUUCUAUUACAAGAUCAGGGACCUC
rnacentral:lncRNA from 1 species